rnacentral:rRNA from 1 species
UACGUAGGGGGCAAGCGUUGUCCGGAAUCAUUGGGCGUAAAGAGCGCGUAGGCGGCCCUGUAAGUCCGCUGUGAAAGUCAAGGGCUCAACCCUUGAAUGCCGGUGGAUACUGCAGGGCUAGAGUCCGGAAGAGGCGAGUGGAAUUCCUGGUGUAGCGGUGGAAUGCGCAGAUAUCAGGAGAAACACCGAUGGCGAAGGCAGCUCGCUGGGACGGUACUGACGCUGAGGCGCGAAAGCGUGGGGAGCGAACAGG